UACGGGGGGGGGCAAGCGUUGUUCGGAAUUACUGGGCGUAAAGGGCUCGUAGGCGGCCAACUAAGUCAGACGUGAAAUCCCCAGGCUCAACCUGGGAACUGCGUCUGAUACUGGAUGGCUUGAAUUCGGGAGAGGGAUGCAGAAUUCCAGGUGUAGCGGUGAAAUGCGUAGAUAUCUGGAGGAAUACCGGUGGCGAAGGCGGCAUCCUGGACCGACAUUGACGCUGAGGAGCGAAAGCGUGGGGAGCGAACAGG
rnacentral:rRNA from 1 species